CCCGAGGCCUAUCCCAACGGUCCUUUUUCAGUAGGGACAUGUUGUUGGAAAUGCCUCGGAUACUAAAUCUGCAGUUCGCUUUACCCUCAUGUUCGUUGCCGUGAGCCUGCUGGGAUAUAACUGCAGGACAAAA